GAAAGCCGUAUGAGGGAAAACCUCACGUACGGUUUGAUGAGGAGGGGCUGGCUCCGCCCAGCCUUUCACUCUAGC
rnacentral:ncRNA from 1 species